rnacentral:rRNA from 1 species
GACGAACGCUGGCGGCGUGCUUAACACAUGCAAGUCGAACGGGUCUGCCCUGUUUUUUGCGGGGUGGGUCAGUGGCGAACGGGUGAGUAACACGUGAGUAACCUGCCCCUCACUUCUGGAUAACCGCUUGAAAGGGUGGCUAAUACGGGGUGUUCUGGCUGUUCCGCAUGGUGUGGCUGGGAAAGAUUCACUUUUGUGGUGUUUUGGUGGGGGAUGGGCUCGCGGCCUAUCAGCUUGUUGGUGGGGUGAUGGCCUGCCAAGGAUUUGACGGGUAGCCGGCCUGGGAGGGUGGGCGGACACACUGGGACUGAGAUACGGCCCAGACUCCUGCGGGAGGCAGGAGUGGGGGGUAUUGCACAAUGGGCGGAAGCCUGAUGCAGCGACGGCGCGUGAGGGAUGGAGGCCUUCGGGUUGUGAACUUCUUUCGCCGGUGAAGAAGGUCCUGCUCUUUGUGGUGGGGUUGACGGGAGCCGGGUUAUGAAGCGCCGGCUAACUACGUGC